GUCGAGCGCGCCCUUCGGGGUGAGCGGCGGACGGGUUAGUAACGCGUGGGAAUAUGCCCAAAGGUACGGAAUAGCCUCUGGAAACGGAGAGUAAUACCGUAUGUGCCCUUCGGGGGAAAGAUUUAUCGCCUUUGGAUUAGCCCGCGUUAGAUUAGGUAGUUGGUGGGGUAAUGGCCUACCAAGCCUACGAUCUAUAGCUGGUUUUAGAGGAUGAUCAGCAACACUGGGACUGAGACACGGCCCAGACUCCUACGGGAGGCAGCAGUGGGGAAUCUUGGACAAUGGGGGCAACCCUGAUCCAGCCAUGCCGCGUGAGUGAUGAAGGCCUUAGGGUCGUAAAGCUCUUUCGCCUGUGAAGAUAAUGACGGUAGCAGGUAAAGAAACCCCGGCUAACUCCGUGCCAGCAGCCGCGGUAAUACGGAGGGGGUUAGCGUUGUUCGGAAUUACUGGGCGUAAAGCGCACGUAGGCGGAUCGGAAAGUUGGGGGUGAAAUCCCGGGGCUCAACCCCGGAACUGCCUCCAAAACUAUCGGUCUAGAGUUCGAGAGAGGUGAGUGGAAUUCCGAGUGUAGAGGUGAAAUUCGUAGAUAUUCGGAGGAACACCAGUGGCGAAGGCGGCUCACUGGCUCGAUACUGACGCUGAGGUGCGAAAGUGUGGGGAGCAAACAGGAUUAGAUACCCUGGUAGUCCACACCGUAAACGAUGAAUGCCAGUCGUCGGGUAGCAUGCUAUUCGGUGACACACCUAACGGAUUAAGCAUUCCGCCUGGGGAGUACGGUCGCAAGAUUAAAACUCAAAGGAAUUGA
rnacentral:rRNA from 1 species